rnacentral:rRNA from 1 species
CCUGGCUCAGGACGAACGCUGGCGGCGCGCCUAACACAUGCAAGUCGAACGAGCGAGAGAGAGCUUGCUUUCUCGAGCGAGUGGCGAACGGGUGAGUAACGCGUGAGGAACCUGCCUCAAAGAGGGGGACAACAGUUGGAAACGACUGCUAAUACCGCAUAAGCCCACGGCUCGGCAUCGAGCAGAGGGAAAAGGAGCAAUCCGCUUUGAGAUGGCCUCGCGUCCGAUUAGCUAGUUGGUGAGGUAAUGGCCCACCAAGGCGACGAUCGGUAGCCGGACUGAGAGGUUGAACGGCCACAUUGGGACUGAGACACGGCCCAGACUCCUACGGGAGGCAGCAGUGGGGAAUAUUGCACAAUGGGGGAAACCCUGAUGCAGCGACGCCGCGUGGAGGAAGAAGGUCUUCGGAUUGUAAACUCCUGUUGUUGAGGAAGAUAAUGACGGUACUCAACAAGGAAGUGACGGCUAACUACGUGCCAGCAGCCGCGGUAAAACGUAGGUCACAAGCGUUGUCCGGAAUUACUGGGUGUAAAGGGAGCGCAGGCGGGAAGACAAGUUGGAAGUGAAAUCCAUGGGCUCAACCCAUGAACUGCUUUCAAAACUGUUUUUCUUGAGUAGUGCAGAGGUAGGCGGAAUUCCCGGUGUAGCGGUGGAAUGCGUAGAUAUCGGGAGGAACACCAGUGGCGAAGGCGGCCUACUGGGCACCAACUGACGCUGAGGCUCGAAAGUGUGGGUAGCAAACAGGAUUAGAUACCCUGGUAGUCCACACUGUAAACGAUGAUUACUAGGUGUUGGAGGAUUGACCCCUUCAGUGCCGCAGUUAACACAAUAAGUAAUCCACCUGGGGAGUACGACCGCAAGGUUGAAACUCAAAGGGAUUGACGGGGGCCCGCACAAGCAGUGGAGUAUGUGGUUUAAUUCGACGCAACGCGAAGAACCUUACCAAGUCUUGACAUCCUGCGACGGUGCUGGAAACAGUACUUUCCUUCGGGACGCAGAGACAGGUGGUGCAUGGUUGUCGUCAGCUCGUGUCGUGAGAUGUUGGGUUAAGUCCCGCAACGAGCGCAACCCUUAUGGUCAGUUACUACGCAAGAGGACUCUGGCCAGACUGCCGUUGACAAAACGGAGGAAGGUGGGGAUGACGUCAAAUCAUCAUGCCCUUUAUGACUUGGGCUACACACGUACUACAAUGGCGUUAAACAAAGAGAAGCAAGACCGCGAGGUGGAGCAAAACUCAGAAACAACGUCCCAGUUCGGACUGCAGGCUGCAACUCGCCUGCACGAAGUCGGAAUUGCUAGUAAUCGCAGAUCAGCAUGCUGCGGUGAAUACGUUCCCGGGCCUUGUACACACCGCCC